rnacentral:sRNA from 1 species
AACGGCACCCACCGGCACUCACCUCCCUGAGUUGCCACCCGGAAACGAACCUCUCCCCUGGGCUUCGUUUCCCCGGCCCCGAGGACUCCCCCUAAGUCCUCGGGGCCUUUUU